rnacentral:rRNA from 1 species
GACGAACGCUGGCGGCGUGCCUAAUACAUGCAAGUAGAACGCUGAAGGAGGAGCUUGCUUCUCUGGAUGAGUUGCGAACGGGUGAGUAACGCGUAGGUAACCUGCCUGGUAGCGGGGGAUAACUAUUGGAAACGAUAGCUAAUACCGCAUAAGAGUAGAUGUCGCAUGACAUUUGCUUAAAAGGUGCAAUUGCAUCACUACCAGAUGGACCUGCGUUGUAUUAGCUAGUUGGUGAGGUAACGGCUCACCAAGGCAACGGUACAUAGCCGACCUGAGAGGGUGGACGGCCACACUGGGACUGAGACACGGCCCAGACUCCUACGGGAGGCAGCAGUAGGGAAUCUUCGGCAAUGGACGGAAGUCUGACCGAGCAACGCCGCGUGAGUGAAGAAGGUUUUCGGAUCGUAAAGCUCUGUUGUAAGAGAAGAACGAGUGUGAGAGUGGAAAGUUCACACUGUGACGGUAUCUUACCAGAAAGGGACGGCUAACUACGUG